rnacentral:siRNA from 1 species
AUCGUCGGUGCAUAAGUCUCGUGC